GAACUGAAGAGUUUGAUCAUGGCUCAGAUUGAACGCUGGCGGCAGGCCUAACACAUGCAAGUCGAGCGGAUGAAGGGAGC
rnacentral:rRNA from 1 species